UACGUAGGUGACAAGCGUUGUCCGGAAUUAUUGGGCGUAAAGGGAGCGCAGGCGGUUGGAAUAGUCUGAUGUGAAAGCCCACGGCUUAACCGUGGAGGGUCAUUGGAAACUGUCCAACUUGAGUGCAGAAGAGGAGAGUGGAAUUCCAUGUGUAGCGGUGAAAUGCGUAGAUAUAUGGAGGAACACCAGUGGCGAAGGCGACUCUCUGGUCUGUAACUGACGCUGAGGCUCGAAAGCGUGGGUAGCAAACAGG
rnacentral:rRNA from 1 species